GACGAACGCUGGCGGCGUGCCUAAUACAUGCAAGUCGAACGCUUCUUUCCUCCCGAGUGCUUGCACUCAAUUGGAAAGAGGAGUGGCGGACGGGUGAGUAACACGUGGGUAACCUACCCAUCAGAGGGGGAUGACACUUGGAAACAGGUGCUAAUACCGCAUAACAGUUUAUGCCGCAUGGCAUAAGAGUGAAAGGCGCUUUCGGGUGUCGCCGAUGGAUGGACCCGCGGUGCAUUAGCUAGUUGGUGAGGUAACGGCUCACCAAGGCCACGAUGCAUAGCCGACCUGAGAGGGUGAUCGGCCACACUGGGACUGAGACACGGCCCAGACUCCUACGGGAGGCAGCAGUAGGGAAUCUUCGGCAAUGGACGAAAGUCUGACCGAGCAACGCCGCGUGAGUGAAGAAGGUUUUCGGAUCGUAAAACUCUGUUGUUAGAGAAGAACAAGGACGUUAGUAACUGAACGUCCCCUGACGGUAUCUAACCAGAAAGCCACGGCUAACUACGUG
rnacentral:rRNA from 1 species